rnacentral:rRNA from 1 species
UACGUAGGGUGCAAGCGUUAAUCGGAAUUACUGGGCGUAAAGCGUGCGCAGGCGGUUUUGUAAGACCGAUGUGAAAUCCCCGGGCUUACCUGGGAACUGCAUUGGUGACUGCAAGGCUUGAGUGUGUCAGGAGGGAGGGUGGAAUUCCGCGUGUAGCAGUGAAAUGCGUAGAUAUGCGGAGGAACACCGAUGGCGAAGGCAAUCCCCUGGGCCUGCACUGACGCUCAUGCACGAAGCGUGGGAGCAACAGG